UACAGAGGGGGCAAGCGUUAUUCGGAAUUAUUGGGCGUAAAGGGCGCGUAGGCGGCUUUGCAAGUGACGGGUGAAAUCCCUCGGCUUAACCGAGGAACUGCCUGUCAGACUGCAUGGCUUGAGACCAGGAGAGGUGAGUGGAAUUCCCAGUGUAGCGGUGAAAUGCGUAGAUAUUGGGAGGAACACCUGCGGCGAAGGCGGGUAGCUGGGCCGACACUGACGCUGAGGCGCGAAAGCCAGGGGAGCGAACGGG
rnacentral:rRNA from 1 species